UACAACGUUGGUGAACACGUACAGCUGGGCAUUAUUGGCUUGUAACCUUUCACACAACAAGUACCAACAAGAACAAGCUCAUCUCCAUUAUUAUCUCAAUUCGCAACGAACUAGUUAAGAUCGUCGUCUGAUGGAUAGCAGCAACACGAACCGCUCGCAGUCGCAGCCUCCUCCGGGCUACCCGAGGUUGGACGCGGAGCAGCAGGGCGGCGGCGGCAAGAAGAAGAAGAAGGGGUGCUGUGGACCAAGGCGCCGCGCGGCGACGGCCAAGCGCGGUGAGGCGAGCUUCAUCGAGGGAUGCAUCGCCGCGCUCUGCUGCUGCUGGCUCUGCGAGUUCUGCUGCGAUUAACUUGCUGAUCCAAAAGAAGGUGGUGCGCCAACACACAAGGAGCCACCAUGGCAAAAAGUUAACACUGUCUCAGGUGGAGAUUGAUCUUUAAUAAAUGACGAUCAUGAUGUAGUACAUUGUGUACCUUUUAAUCUACAUGUGUUGUUCCUGAUGUAUCAUCCCUGCAAAUUAAAAGACAAAUCUAUGAAUGCACGAUA